rnacentral:rRNA from 1 species
UAGGGAAUCUUCGGCAAUGGACGAAAGUCUGACCGAGCAACGCCGCGUGAGUGAAGAAGGUUUUCGGAUCGUAAAACUCUGUUGGUAGAGAAGAACGUUGGUGAGAGUGGAAAGCUCAUCAAGUGACGGUAACUACCCAGAAAGGGACGGCUAACUACGUGCCAGCAGCCGCGGUAAUACGUAGGUCCCGAGCGUUGUCCGGAUUUAUUGGGCGUAAAGCGAGCGCAGGUGGUUUAUUAAGUCUGGUGUAAAAGGCAGUGGCUCAACCAUUGU